ACAAAAAUCAAUGCAUUUUUAAUGUGAUUUCUUAAUAUAUGUGAAAAGUCUAGAAUAUGUAUCUUUAAAAAACAGAGGGAGUAUGAUCUUUUUUUAAUCAGAGUCUUGCAGAAUCCAUUAAACCCCACAAAAAUGGUCUCUCCUCCCAUUUAGAUCUGUUACUUCGUAAAAGUCAUGAUUGCUGCUAAAAUCUACGGGGGAUACUCCGGCUCAGUCAGCUUCGGCAUACCGUGAGAUUCUCAUGGAUCAUAACCCUUGCUAAUCGAUCAUCUUUAAAGGAAGUAUUCACAAGGGUGGGCAAUAUGUAAGGAAUAAAGUAUGUACGUCCUUUUGUACACCGAUGUACAUCUGGUGGACAAUAUGCAAAAGCUUUUGUGAAUUAGUGUACAUGUGGACAGUCAAAAUUAUGUGUACAUGUGACAGUCCAAAUUAUGCGUACAUGUUGACUUAUCAAAGCAGAGAACUACUCUUAUCAAAAAAAUUCAAUCGUUUGUGA